GUCAGCCAGGUUUGUUAAGCAUAUUAAACACUGAGUUAAUGGUGUACGCCAAUCGUUACUUAAAUAAUGUGUGAAAACAGUCACGUGACAUUCCGUAACUUUCUGUCAUCCUGAUGAUACAAUUCUUUUCGUUUUGUGUUUGUCCAUGUACGAUUUAUCAUCCUAGGCCCUUGAUAGUUACGGUCACUGCGCGGAAAACGUCGUCUGGAAAACUCGCACCGCAUCCAUCCGCCCAUAGAUGGCGCUCCAUCCGCUCGGCUCAUAUAAGCGAGCGCACGCGCACCGCCGCACUGCCCGGCCGACUCCCGCGCCACCAACGCGUACCGCGAGUGUAGUGAAAUGGAUAUACUCACCUUGGACCCAACUGGACUUUAUUAAAAAAAACUUUUAAAAAUGGCUGUCCUCGACCCUACUGGCCAGUACUAAAUAUGAUCCUCGACCCCACUGGACAAUAUUAGAGCAUCAUGAUCGGGCUAGACCCCACAGAAAUUUACUAAUCCCCCCAAAAUGUGCUGCGGGCGGCGGAGGAUUUGGACGGGAUCCAGUCCGGAAGAGACAUCGUCGUGCAGAAAAAGAAGGUUUCGGCACUAGGCCCGGAAAUCAGUUCCUCGACACCUGCGAAGGAAUGCAAUGUAUUUUCCCGUCUGCAAGCCGCCCCUGUAUCCAAUACUCACUACGUUUAUAUUACGACUGAUAUACAUACUAUAGUGCACAUGUCCUUCAAGCAUUUUGUAUUUUAUAUAAAUUAUUGUAGAUAUAUUCUAUGUAGGAAAUGAUAGAAACAUAACCUUAAAAUGUAAAAUAUAACUAACACCUCUGAUACGUAUGUUUUUAAUUAUGUUUUUUGUUCAUUUUUUGUUUUUCAUUUAAAAACAAUCAUGCUUUUUCAUGAACAUCAUUUUUAUUUCAACCACAAAAUAUCAUUUCAUGUCAUUUAAAGAUUUUCUAUUUUGUUUUUAAAUUAAACAUAAUCGCAGUAACAUCUAAAUAGAUUAAGAAAAUUUCAAGACAAGCAAAAAGAGGCAAAAAGGUUAUUUUUGAAAGGUUUUCUUCGCCCAUUGUACAUUAUUCGAGAGACCUUCAAAAACCCGUUUUUUAUGUACAGAUUUGUAGUUUUAAUUGUAGUUAUACUAGAUUUCCACUCAAAUAUAUACGUUGUCCUGCAUGAUUCGAGUUACCAUGUAUUUCCGCUUUUAAAAUGUAAAUAAUGCUUUGAAUCCCUAAAGUGCUUAAAAAUAUAAGCACCCAUGUUGCUCGAAAAAGUACCUAUUUUGAAGAUACCCUUAAAAUGUAAAACAAAUGUGCAGUUUUGACAUUUCUGCGAUAAUUUAUCUUUAGUUUCGAAAUUAGUACUUCACCUUAUAGGGCUUAACUUCGAUUUUUAAAUCGAUUUAUUUUGGAUAUCUUAAUAACAAAAUGUUCUUAGUUUAAAAUGUAUUUAGCAAUAUUAAUAACUAUUUUCAGGUAUAAAUGUAUAACCAUAUUAUAUAGGUAAUAUUUUGUGACUGAAAAUGGUAGUUGAUAAAUUAUAAUUACGCAUCUGAUUGUUAUAGCUACUAUUUAACAAUAGAACGGAACGUUUUAUUUCGAUCUAACAAUAAAUUAUGAAACAUAACAGUGUCUAUCAAUUAUAAAAAAAUAGUGAGCUUGCUAUGCUUUUAUUAAUUUAUCUUUAUACUGUAGAUAAUUAAGAUAAGACUGCUUAAAGUUAAUUUGUCUUCUAAGACUGAUGUGAAUUUGAGGAACCAUUUUCAAUACUAUCGAUAUUUAGCUCUGACACUCUGUUAGGUUAGAUACUCUGUGUAGCGAUGUUCCCAAGCCUUGCCGUGUGUAGGCAAAUAUAUCAUUAAAGGACCAGUGUAGCUAUGAGCUCGUAAUUCGUAACAAAUGCGCUAAUCUAAGAGCGCUUUUAUAUUGGUUCUGAGCGUUAGACGUUGCGUUAGGCAAGUUUUUGGAAUAAUCUGCUCAAUGAAUAGAGUACAGUCGAGAACAUUAGAUAGAUUUCGAUUGUUUUUAGAAUUGGUUCCUUUGGGCUCAAGAGGAGUAGCAAUAUGGCUGAGAUAUCAAUGUUAAUGUUUUGUAUCUCUCUAAUUCGGUUAUAAUAAUUGAAACUAUAUUAUACACAUAUUUUUUUUAAUGUUAAAAGUAAGGUCAGGUGGGCUAAGAACUUACGUAUAGUUUAUUUGACUCUGAACAAAAGGAACAGGGGGUCUACUGCGAAACCGAAAUUGCGGGAUCUUUCUCUUUUACUCUCAGUAAGACGUAAUUAGAGUGACAGAGAAAAAUGCCCGCAAUUGACGAACUUCGAUUUUCGCAGUUAUAGCCCAGUAGACCUACAAAAGUUUAUUUUGUCACACCUGAUAAUUGUAAAUAAUUUGCAAAUUGUCUUUUGUGAUUUGGAAGGUGUAUUCCCAUCUGUACCCGGUGGCGCUACAUACAAAUCAUUCCCCUUCUGUGCCCGCCUCGUGUAUGGCGCUGGUCACGUGGGGCGGGCACAGAUGGGAAUAUACCAUUUGGAAACGUUAAAAUGAAAAGCGGAGAUAUAUUUAUUCGUUGUUUUUAUAUUUAUAAACAUUACAUUUACGAGUUAGCGAUUGUAUGAGGGUGAUAUCGCAGCCAUAUUGCUUUAGUAUGUUCGUAGGCCGCUAUAUCAUUACUAUAUGGCCGAGGAAGUAUCCCACCCUAGCAUAUAUUAUUUUAGCAUAAGUUACUGUCGUAAACCUAGUGAGUAAUAAAGAUGUUUUAUAUUAUUUUCUAUAAA